rnacentral:rRNA from 1 species
AUUGAACGCUGGCGGCAUGCCUUACACAUGCAAGUCGAACGGUAACAGGUCUUCGGAUGCUGACGAGUGGCGAACGGGUGAGUAAUACAUCGGAACGUGCCCGAGAGUGGGGGAUAACGGGGCCAAAGCUUUGCUAAUAACGCAUACGAUCUCAGGAUGAAAGCAGGGGACCGCAAGGCCUCUCGCCCCCGGAGCGGCCGAUGGCAGAUUAGGUAGUUGGUGGGAUAAAAGCUUACCAAGCCGACGAUCUGUAGCUGGUCUGAGAGGACGACCAGCCACACUGGGACUGAGACACGGCCCAGACUCCUACGGGAGGCAGCAGUGGGGAAUUUUGGACAAUGGGCGCAAGCCUGAUCCAGCCAUGCCGCGUGCAGGAUGAAGGCCUUCGGGUUGUAAACUGCUUUUGUACGGAACGAAAAGACUCUGGUUAAUACCUGGGGUCCACGACGGUACCGUAAGAAUAAGCACCGGCUAACUACGUGCCAGCCGCCGCGGUAAGAC